UGUCAUGAAAUCUGGGUGUGACAUCUAUCACCCCACUGAUUACUAGUUGACCCCACUGAUUACUAGUUGACCCCACUGAUCACCGUUGAUUCAGCUGAUCUGGCUAGAUGGGUGUUUCCUUCCUCCUUCACCAUUCCAUAUGAGUCCCUACUGAAGCUGUAUGUUUGGUUGAAGAGAACAGCCAUCCCUGAUAAAGGAGGACCACAGCUGAAUUCUUCCAGAUGUAUAAAAAGAGCUGGUAGCAAUCCUACUAAAAGUAUUACAAAAAAUUGAGGAGGAAGGACCCCUCCCUAACUCAUU
rnacentral:snRNA from 1 species